UAUAUAAACAACCAGAGCCUUGAGGACCCAGGUGAGUCAGAUCAAAUCCCUCUCAGAAAAUCCGUUGCUGCUUCUUUGUUCUCUACUUUUCUGACUUGAGCGUCAGAAGAUCCUCGCUGGAGCCACAAUCUUCGGUUUGGGACUUAUUUUGCACAUCACUCCAGCACCGACAUCCCUGCACGAAGAUCAAGCGUCUGUCUUUCGACCUCAGCUAUCCAUCUUCCAACCUCGACCGAUUUAAGCAACAAC
rnacentral:lncRNA from 1 species